AUAUGAAUGAACCAACAACUGAAUUGAGAAACACGUCAGAUGCACUGUCAAAACUUAAGGAAGAAAGAGAAAAACUAAUACAAUGGUCAAUAAAACUGAAAAGAAAUAAUCCCUCUCUUUUAAAUGCAGAUAAGUUAGAUUCAGAAAGGAAUGAAAAAACAUAUUUAAGUAGUAAUGAAUCAUCUGAUGGGGAGAACAUAGAUAGUAAAAAAAAAGACAUAAAAAAAAAAGACAUAAAAAGAAACGGUAGUAAAAAAUUAACAGAUACUUAUGAUGGUGUAAAAAAAAAUGGAAAUAAAUAUUUUGAAGAUACAUAUAAAGAUAUUGAUGAAGAUAGUGAUUCAUUGUCUGAAUCAUAUAUAGAUAAAAAGAGUGAAUAUAGCGAAGAAACAAAAAAUAUAAAAAUACAAGGUAAUAAGAAUCAAAUUAAUAUAAUGGAUAUACGUAAUAAGAACAAGCACAUGAGUUGUGAUUCUUCGAUAAGUGAAGAUGUAGCAUCGUUAUCGUCCAGUAGUAGCAUACAUGACAGUAACAACAUUAACAACAAGGGUAAUAAAAAAAACAUAAAAUCGUAUGGUGCAAAUAAAAACAAAUGGGGUGAAAAUAAUAUUAUGAAAACAAAUAAAUACCAAAAAAAAAUGAUGCAUCGAACAAAUAUAAUUUUAAAUGAUAAGUUCGAUUCUAAAAUUAACAGUGACAAUUCUAAUGAUUCAAUUCAAAUGAAUAAUCUUUACGAUAGUAAAAAAAAACGUAUGUAUGGUAAUAAUAAUAAUAAUAAUAACAUGUAUGAUGGUAAUAAUGACAUAACAAACAAUAGUAAGAGUAAUUAUUUAAACAUUCUUCCUCACAUUUAUAGUAAAAAAGAGUUUUUUGACAUAUAUAAUAAUAGAAAUAACAUAGAUUCUAAUGCAAUAAUAAAAGUUGAUGAAUAUGUUGAUUAUGAUGUAACAUCAAAUUUGGAGAAUCAACAUACUUUUUCAAAUAGUAAAGAAAGUGAUAUAUUUGACAACACGACUUUAAAAAGUGGAAACAGUUUUCAAAUUAGUAAUCUUAACAAUAACGAAAUUCGAAAUAAAAAAAAAAUAAAAUUAAUAAAAAAAAAAAGCAAACUUAACAAUAUAAACAGUUUUUUAAAUACAAAUACAAAUACAAAUAAUAAUAAUACAAAUAAUAAUAAUAAUAAUAAUAAUAAUACUGGUAUAGUUAAUAAUUAUAUGGAAACUAUUCAAAAACCAAAAAAUAACUUUUUUUAUGAUAGUAACGAUAAUUAUAGCAAUAAUAACCAACAGAAUAAUAAUUAUAAUAAAUUACUAGCAGAAAGUGCAUAUAAAAAUUUGAUACCAAUGUUGUCAAAUUUUAAUACAAAAGACAUCGUAUCGAAUACAACUCUUUUUACAGAAACUAGUGAUGAAAAAAGUAAGAAGGGAGUGAACUCCCACGACAAAAAUCACAGUCCCAGUGGUGGUGUGAAAUCAGAAAAACGAAAAAAUGGUGCAGUAUUAAAAAAACAAGAAAUUAAAAGAAAUGAAAAUGGGUUGAAAAAAAAAGUUCUAAUAUUAGAAAAUAAAAAAGAAGUUUUAAACGAACAAAUGAAAGAUUUAUAUGACAAUACAUAUAGUUUGAUUGAAUCAAAAGAAAAAGACAAUUUAACAAUUCAUCAUUAUGAACUGUUAAUACAAAAUCUACAAACAAAAUAUAAUAAAUUGUUUAAUAUGUAUCAAGAAUUAGACGAACAUCGUAUUGCUUAUGUUGAUGCAUAUAGAGAAAAACAAACAAAAGUUGAAAAUUUAUGUGCAGUAAUGCAAAUUAAAAGUGAAGAGAAUUUAAAAUUAACAGAAGAAAUGAAUAUAUUAAAUAAAAAAAAUGAAGAAUUACAAGGACAAAUUUAUGAAUAUAUUAAAGAUAUAGAAGAGAAAGAAAUUCUAUUGAAUAGAAAAAAAGAAGAGUGUGCUAACUUAAAUGAUUUAGUAAUUACAACGAAUAAAGAAAAAGCAGAAAUAAAAAACGAGUUAGAUAAAAAAAUAAAAGAAGUAAAUGAUUUAACAAAUAAAAAUAAAAACCUAAUAAAAGAAAAUAAUGAAAUAAAACAAAAAUAUAGUAAUUAUGAAAGUAAAAAUAUACGUAACGAUGAAUUUUAUUUGAAAAAAGUUAAUAACUUAUUAGCUAUACUUCAUAAAAUUUUAGAAUUUUUUAAUUUAAACAAAGAAGAUAUAAUUAAAUAUAUUAUUAUAUUUAAACAAAAUUUAUCUAUAAUUGAAGAAAAGUUAAAAAUAAAUAACAGUUUAUAUGAUGAUAUAUUAUUUAUAUUAGAUAAUAAUAUUAUGAACUCUAUUGUUGAUGGUAUAAAAAAUAGAGAACAAGAAUAUAUUGAACAAAAACAAAAUAUGACUAUUUUAUUUGAUAAAGAAAUAUUAAAUGUACAUGAAAUGAAUAUAGAAAAUGUAGAGCUAGCCAAUGAUUUUAUUGAAAAAUUAAAAAAUAAAAUAAAAAAUGUAAUAACUCAAAGAGAUAAUAUAAAAAACAGAACUUUAUUAUUAUCGAAUGGACAAGGUAGAACAAACGAUAAACCAAUAAUCAAAGAAAUUAAAAAAAUGAACGAAGGUACGCUUUUGUUUAAGUGUAAAUAUAAAACUUUUACACAUAAACCUGUAGUCAUAUAUAUGAAAAUGAUUGAUAAUAGAUACAUAACAUGGACAAAAGAUGUGAAGAACAAAAAACGGUUCAAAACAAAAAAUCUAUUGGAUAUACAGAACAUCACGUCAAUAGAAUACGGAUUUAAUAGCAGACCGGUGUACUGGUUAAUUGAAAAGAAAAACAGAGCGAAACUUGAAAAAAAACAAAUUGCCAUGAAUGAAUUUUAUAAUAACACAUAUAACGUAAAUCCGUGUAAAUGCUUUACAGUGCGUACUAAGCAAAGAGCAUAUGAUUUUUUUUCAAACGAUGAUGCCACAAUUGCAACAUGGGUAAUAGGACUUGGCUUGCUAUCGUAUCCAUACAACAAAAGUGCGAACAUUCAGUCAAAAUCAGAGUUUAUUGUUAAAAAAGUGCAAUUAAAACUAAGAUUAUACUGUAUUUUUAAAAAUAUAAAUUAUACGGAACUUUGGAAAGACGCUAUUGAAAUAACCCAAAAAGAAAUGUUAAAAUAGGUUUUAUAUUUGUCUCAUUAUGUAUCAUUUUGUUAUUAUUGUUUAUUUAUUUAUUUUUUUUUUUUUNNNNNNNNNNCUUUUUUACCCUGUUUACCCUUUUUUACCCUGUUUACCCUUUUUUACUCUGUUUACCCUUUUUUACCCUGUUUACCUUAUUUUUUCAAUAAUAUAUAAGUUGCUCGUAAUACUUAUUUUAAAGAAGCUUAAAAUAGUGAAAAAAAUAUGUAACCAAAUUAUAAGCACUUAUAUCUGUUAUAGUUAUACGCACACGUACGUACAUAAUUGUACUUAUAAAUAUGUGCUUAAGGCAUGUCCAUGAUUAUGUUUUGUUUAUUCAUAAUAAUGCAUAUUUUAAUUGGCCCUCUUUUUUCCAUAAAUUUUGUUGACCUAUGUUGCUUUUUUUUUUAAGUUAUUGAAAAAAAAAAAANNNNNNNNNNNNNNNNNNNNNNNNNNNNNNNNNNNNNNNNNNNNNNNNNNNNNNNNNNNNNNNNNNNNNNNNNNNNNNNNNNNNNNNNNNNNNNNNNNNNAAAAAAAAAAAUAAAAUAAAAAAAAAAAUCA
ensembl:lncRNA